rnacentral:rRNA from 1 species
UACGUAGGGGGCAAGCGUUGUCCGGAUUUAUUGGGCGUAAAGAGCGUGUAGGCGGCCUGAAAGGUCAGCUGUGAAAACUCGAGGCUCAACCUCGAGACGUCGGUUGAAACCAUCUGGCUAGAGUCCGGAAGAGGAGAGUGGAAUUCCCGGUGUAGCGGUGAAAUGCGCAGAUAUCGGGGAAGAACACCCGUGGCGAAGGCGGCUCUCUGGGACGGUACUGACGCUGAGA